rnacentral:rRNA from 1 species
GAUGAACGCUGGCGGCGUGCCUAAUACAUGCAAGUCGAGCGAACAGAUGAGGAGCUUGCUCCUCUGACGUUAGCGGCGGACGGGUGAGUAACACGUGGAUAACCUACCUAUAAGACUGGGAUAACUUCGGGAAACCGGAGCUAAUACCGGAUAAUAUAUUGAACCGCAUGGUUCAAUAGUGAAAGACGGUUUUGCUGUCACUUAUAGAUGGAUCCGCGCCGCAUUAGCUAGUUGGUAAGGUAACGGCUUACCAAGGCAACGAUGCGUAGCCGACCUGAGAGGGGGAUCGGCCACACUGGAACUGAGACACGGUCCAGACUCCUACGGGAGGCAGCAUUAGGGAACCUUCCGCAAUGGGCGAAAGCCUGACGGAGCAACGCCGCGUGAUGGAUGAAGGUCUUCGGAUCGUAAAACUCUGUUAUUAGGGAAGAACAAAUGUGUAAGUAACUAUGCACGUCUUGACGGUACCUAAUCAGAAAGCCACGGCUAACUACGUG